rnacentral:lncRNA from 1 species
GUGUGCCUCGUUGUAUCAGUAUUACAAUAUAGGCUUACUGUUAUGAUAAGGGAGUAGUAAAGUGUUAGCACACAGGCAGGCAACAUACAAUUCCACACUCCAUCCCCCAGGUGACAGCACCAACUGGGUCAAGGGAUGGGCUUUGCCAGAAAGCCUUGAUAAGCACAUCAGGUGCAUCCAAUUAAGGUGAUUGUUAGACCAGAAGCCUUUUAGGCAGCUUUUUGUUUCUUUCCUUGUGUUAACCUCUUUAGUUGGGCAUCCUUUUUUAGUUUGGCAUUUAUUUAGUCACCAUUUGAACAAAUAAUAAUCCGCUUGGACUGACUGACCAAGCGGUCAAGAUGGAACUGGCCCUGGACAUAAGCUGGCUGACGGCAGUUGUUUCAGGCCGAGGUGUAUUCUGGAUGGCAGGCAGGGGAAGACGGGAUGCCCUGUCGCCACGUCACCAGCUGCCUGGGUCAGGCCUGGAGAGAGAGGGAGUGUAGUCCUGGCCAGGCUUACAGUACCUGGUUCUGGCAAAGAAGCUGAGUAGGAGUAAAGACUAUCGCACCAGAGAGCACUUCCCCCAUCAACACUACAAUAACUCACCACUGCUGCCUGAUACACCCCAGCCUUGGCCAGGCCAGAGCCACUAUAACCUCCUGGGACACAUUGUAAUAGAGACAUGGAGUAUAAAUGCUGAUGAUAGUAAGCAGUUUGAUAAUGCCCUUUUAAUGUGUUUGUUUAAUGCCCUUUUAAUG